rnacentral:snoRNA from 1 species
CGCUUUGAUGAACCCCACGAUAGGGACAGCUUAUACUUCGGUAUAUGAUGCAUAUCCCGGGCGAGAAUUUUAGUAGAUGCCUCGAUUUCUGACG